rnacentral:rRNA from 1 species
GACGAACGCUGGCGGCGUGCCUAAUACAUGCAAGUCGAGCGCAGGAAACUGACGGAACUCUUCGGAGGGAAGGCAGUGGAAUGAGCGGCGGACGGGAGAGUAACACGUAAGGAACCUGCCUCAAGGAUUGGGAUAACUCCGAGAAAUCGGAGCUAAUACCGGAUAGUUCAACGGACCGCAUGGUCCGCUGAUGAAAGGCGCGCCGGCGUCACCUUGAGAUGGCCUUGCGGUGCAUUAGCUAGUUGGUGGGGUAACGGCCCACCAAGGCGACGAUGCAUAGCCGACCUGAGAGGGUGAUCGGCCACACUGGGACUGAGACACGGCCCAGACUCCUACGGGAGGCAGCAGUAGGGAAUCUUCCACAAUGGACGAAAGUCUGAUGGAGCAACGCCACGUGAGUGAUGAAGGUUUUCGGAUCGUAAAACUCCGUUGUAAGGGAAGAACACGUACGAGAGGGAAUGCUCGUACCUAGACGGUACCUUACGAGAAAGCCACGGCUAACUACGUGCCAGCCGCCGCGGUAAAAC